CCCUGCCAUUUGUACACACCGCCCGUCGCACCUACCGAUUGAAUGGUCCGGUGAAAUCUUCGGACUCUGUGUUUAUUGAUUAGUUUCAAUUUACUACUGGAGAAAGUUGAGUAAACCUUACCAUUUAG
rnacentral:rRNA from 1 species